GUCAUGCUAGAGCACUAGCAUGCUCCCCAACGAGAAGGCGACGACGCAUUCAUAUGUCAAUCCAUAUCAACUUUCGAUGCCAUUGACUGUGCCUACCAUGGUGACCACGGGUAACGGGGAAUCAGGGUUCGAUUCCGUACAGGGACCCUGACAAACGGCUACCACAUGCAAGGAAGGCACCAGACG